AUGUUUUUUUUUUUUUUUUUUAAGUGAGAGUAUACAUGUCAUUCUAAAACUAUACAUAGAAGGAAAAAUUAUGGCGUUGGAAACCAAUUGUGGUGUUUGUAUUGGAGAAAUUGAUGGACUGCUCAAUUUCUCCUACCUCUGUCUGUUGGAUCUCUGGCAAAGUGACAGACUGCAAACAAAUGAACAAACAUUAAUAACAAAAAAUGAGACGCUCAAACACAUGCCAUUUGACACUGCCACCCUUUGCUCGUUGCCCAAAUAUCGCUGUCACCCAAGACUGAACCAUAAGCCCGGAAAUAGUUGCUAAAAUCUUUUGGUCUUAAACUGUGUUAAAAUAAAUAUUAUUAUAUAUGUCUAAAAGAGGGCAUCUUACCCCUCUCUCUUCUUAAUUGAUGAUUUUAGGCUUCAGGUACAGUAAAAUGUUUUGUGGGUCUUAAAAUGUCUCUCUUUUUGCUCAAUAUGCUAAAUGCUUAUUAUGUUGAGAUGGCUUAAAUAUAAUUUUUGAGCCAAUAAAAGAAACUAUUAUUUUAGCAAAUGAAAUAAAUAAAUAAAAAAAAUUACAAGAUGAAACUUUAAAAAUAUUACAAUGAUUGCAAAAAUGAAUAAAAAUAAAAAAAGAUAUUGAUUAAAUUUGUGAUCAAAUAUACGACUAUGGAUGCCAAAAAUGUCAUAUUCUUAAUUUUAAAUAAAUAAAUAAGAUAAAAA
rnacentral:misc_RNA from 1 species